GUCGAGCGAACGGACGAGAAGCUUGCUUCUCUGAUGUUAGCGGCGGACGGGUGAGUAACACGUGGAUAACCUACCUAUAAGACUGGGAUAACUUCGGGAAACCGGAGCUAAUACCGGAUAAUAUUUUGAACCGCAUGGUUCAAAAGUGAAAGACGGUCUUGCUGUCACUUAUAGAUGGAUCCGCGCUGCAUUAGCUAGUUGGUAAGGUAACGGCUUACCAAGGCAACGAUGCAUAGCCGACCUGAGAGGGUGAUCGGCCACACUGGAACUGAGACACGGUCCAGACUCCUACGGGAGGCAGCAGUAGGGAAUCUUCCGCAAUGGGCGAAAGCCUGACGGAGCAACGCCGCGUGAGUGAUGAAGGUCUUCGGAUCGUAAAACUCUGUUAUUAGGGAAGAACAUAUGUGUAAGUAACUGUGCACAUCUUGACGGUACCUAAUCAGAAAGCCACGGCUAACUACGUGCCAGCAGCCGCGGUAAUACGUAGGUGGCAAGCGUUAUCCGGAAUUAUUGGGCGUAAAGCGCGCGUAGGCGGUUUUUUAAGUCUGAUGUGAAAGCCCACGGCUCAACCGUGGAGGGUCAUUGGAAACUGGAAAACUUGAGUGCAGAAGAGGAAAGUGGAAUUCCAUGUGUAGCGGUGAAAUGCGCAGAGAUAUGGAGGAACACCAGUGGCGAAGGCGACUUUCUGGUCUG
rnacentral:rRNA from 1 species